rnacentral:rRNA from 1 species
AUUAGGGUUCGAUUCCGGAGAGGGAGCCUGAGAAACGGCUACCACAUCUAAGGAAGGCAGCAGGCGCGCAAAUUACCCAAUCCUAAUACAGGGAGGUAGUGACAAGAAAUAACAAUACAGGACUUAAUUGUUUUGUAAUUGGAAUGAGUUAAGUAUAAACCCCUUUACAAGUAUCAAUUGGAGGGCAAGUCUGGUGCCAGCAGCCGCGGUAAUUCCAGCUCCAAUAGCGUAUAUUAAAGUUGUUGCAGUUAAAAAGCUCGUAGUUGGAUUUCUGUUAAUAUUUUAUAUUAUUAAUUUAUURUUAUUAAUAUAAUAUUAACAUAAUUCAUAUUACUUUUUUUAAGUAUAUGAAAUUUUACUUUGAGAAAAUUAGAGUGCUUAAAGCAGGCAUUUGCCUUGAAUACUCCAGCAUGGAAUAAUAUUAAAGAUUUUUAUCUUUCUUAUUGGUUCUAAGAUAGAAAUAAUGAUUAAUA